rnacentral:rRNA from 1 species
GGCGUGGCUUCCGGAGCUAACGCGUUAAGUCGACCGCCUGGGGAGUACGGUCGCAAGGUUAAAACUCAAGUGAAUUGACGGGGGCCCGCACAAGCGGUGGAGCAUGUGGUUUAAUUCGAUGCAACGCGAAGAACCUUACCUGGUCUUGACAUCCACGGAAGUUUUCAGAGAUGAGAAUGUGCCUUCGGGAACCGUGAGACAGGUGCUGCAUGGCUGUCGUCAGCUCGUGUUGUGAAAUGUUGGGUUAAGUCCCGCAACGAGCGCAACCCUUAUCCUUUGUUGCCAGCGGUCCGGCCGGGAACUCAAAGGAGACUGCCAGUGAUAAACUGGAGGAAGGUGGGGAUGACGUCAAGUCAUCAUGGCCCUUACGACCAGGGCUACACACGUGCUACAAUGGCGCAUACAAAGAGAAGCGACCUCGCGAGAGCAAGCGGACCUCAUAAAGUGCGUCGUAGUCCGGAUUGGAGUCUGCAACUCGACUCCAUGAAGUCGGAAUCGCUAGUAAUCGUGGAUCAGAAUGCCACGGUGAAUACGUUCCCGGGCCUUGUACACACCGCCCGCCACACCAUGGAAGUGGGUGCAAAAGAAGUAGGUAG